rnacentral:rRNA from 1 species
UCGAGAAUUUUUCACAAUGGGCGAAAGCCUGAUGGAGCGACGCCGCGUGGGGGAUGAAUGGCUUCGGCCCGUAAACCCCUGUCAUUCGCGAGCAAACGUUAUUAUUUAAAAGAUGAUAGCCUGAUAGUAGCGAAAGAGGAAGGGACGGCUAACUCUGUGCCAGCAGCCGCGGUAAUACAGAGGUCCCAAGCGUUGUUCGGAUUUACUGGGCGUAAAGGGUGCGUAGGUGGUGGGGUAAGUCGGAUGUGAAAUCUCCGAGCUCAACUCGGGGAGUGCAUUGGAAACUACCCUGGUCGAGGGUUGGAGGGGGGACUGGAAUACUUGGUGUAGCAGUGAAAUGCGUAGAUAUCAAGUGGAACACCAGUGGCGAAGGCGAGUCCCUGGACAACUCCUGACACUGAGGCACGAAAGCUAAGGGAGCAAACAG